AAUAGAUACCCCGGUAGUCCACGCCGUAAACGAUGAGUGCUAAGUGUUAGGGGGUUUCUGCCCCUUAGUGCUGCAGCUAACGCAUUAAGCACUCCGCCUGGGGAGUACGAUCGCAAGACUGAAACUCAAAGGAAUUGACGGGGGGCCCGCACAAGCGGUGGAGCAUGUGGUUUAAUUCGAAGCAACGCGAAGAACCUUACCAGGUCUUGACAUCCCACUGACCGCUAUGGAGACAUAGUUUUCCCUUCGGGGACAGUGGUGACAGGUGGUGCAUGGUUGUCGUCAGCUCGUGUCGUGAGAUGUUGGGUUAAGUCCCGCAACGAGCGCAACCCUUGAUCUUAGUUGCCAUCAUUUAGUUGGGCACUCUAAGGUGACUGCCGGUGACAAACCGGAGGAAGGUGGGGAUGGACGUCAAAUCAUCAUGCCCCUUAUGACCUGAGCUACACACGUGCUACAAUGGACGGUACAAACGGUUGCCAACCCGCGAGGGGGAGCUAAUCCGAUAAAACCGUUCUCAGUUCGGAUUGUAGG
rnacentral:rRNA from 1 species